GGGGGUGUAGCUCAGUGGUAGAGCAUGUGCUUAGCAUGCACAAGGUCCUGGGUUCAAUCCUCAGUACCUCCA
rnacentral:tRNA from 1 species